CUUGGUCAUUUAGAGGAAGUAAAAGUCGUAACAAGGUCUCCGUAGGUGAACCUGCGGAGGGAUCAUUACCGAGUGAGGGCCCCUGGUCCGACCUCCAACCCUUUGUCGUCUGACCCCGUUGCCUCGGGCGCCGCCGCUCACGCGGCCGCCCGACGGACCGUUUAACUCUGCAUCCUUGCGUCGGAGUCUCAAUGCAAAUUGAACUAAAACUUUCAACAACGGAUCUCUUGGUUCUGGCAUCGAUGAAGAACGCAGCGAAAUGCGAUAAGUAAUGUGAAUUGCAGAAUUCAGUGAAUCAUCGAAUCUUUGAACGCACAUUGCGCCCUCUGGUAUUCCGGGGGGCAUGCCUGUUCGAGCGUCAUUUAAACCAAUCCAGCCCGGCUGGGUGUUGGGCAUCGCGGCGUCCCGCCGCGGGCCUCAAUGUCGCCGGCCGCGCCGACCGUCUCCUGGCGUCGUGAUAUACAUAUCGCCUCGGACGACGGACGGACGCGCGCCGUCAAACCCUUUCUCAGGUUGACCUCGGAUCAGGUAGGGAUACCCGCUGAACUUAAGCAUAUCAAUAAGCGGAGGA
rnacentral:rRNA from 1 species